UCUCUGACCAGCCUGGAGUAGUUAAUGUCUGCUGCUAAGGUUUCCAUCACAGAUAGGAAACCUUAGCUUUCUGUCUGUCUGGUUGUGGCAACCAAGAUUGAAAGGGGGAAUACAGGA
rnacentral:snoRNA from 1 species